rnacentral:rRNA from 1 species
GACGUAGGGCGCGAGCGUUGUCCGGAUUUAUUGGGCGUAAAGAGCUCGUAGGCGGCUUGUCGCGUCGUCCGUGAAAACCUGCGGCUCAACUGCAGGCUGGCGGUCGAUACGGGCAGGCUGGAGUUCGGUAGGGGAGACUGGAAUUCCUGGUGUAGCGGUGAAAUGCGCAGAUAUCAGGAGGAACACCGGUGGCGAAGGCGGCAUCCUGGACCAACACUGACACUGAGGAGCGAAAGCCAGGGGAGCAAACGGG